rnacentral:rRNA from 1 species
UACGUAGGGUGCAGGCGUUAAUCGGAAUUACUGGGCGUAAAGCGUGCGCAGGCGGUUUGCUAAGACAGGUGUGAAAUCCCCGGGCUUAACCUGGGAACUGCGCUUGUAACUGGCAAGCUUGAGUGUGGCAGAGGGGGGUGGAAUUCCACGUGUAGCAGUGAAAUGCGUAGAGAUGUGGAGGAACACCGAUGGCGAAGGCAGUCCCCUGGGCUAACACUGACGCUCAUGCACGAAAGCGUGGGGAGCAAACAGG